AUUGAACGCUGGCGGCAGGCCUAACACAUGCAAGUCGAGCGGAUGAAGGGAGCUUGCUCCUGGAUUCAGCGGCGGACGGGUGAGUAAUGCCUAGGAAUCUGCCUGGUAGUGGGGGAUAACGUCCGGAAACGGGCGCUAAUACCGCAUACGUCCUGAGGGAGAAAGUGGGGGAUCUUCGGACCUCACGCUAUCAGGUGAGCCUAGGUCGGAUUAGCUAGUUGGUGGGGUAAAGGCCUACCAAGGCGACGAUCCGUAACUGGUCUGAGAGGAUGAUCAGUCACACUGGAACUGAGACACGGUCCAGACUCCUACGGGAGGCAGCGGUGGGGAAUAUUGGACAAUGGGCGAAAGCCUGAUCCAGCCAUGCCGCGUGUGUGAAGAAGGUCUUCGGAUUGUAAAGCACUUUAAGUUGGGAGGAAGGGCAGUAAGUUAAUACCUUGCUGUUUUGACGUUACCAACAGAAUAAGCACCGGCUAACUUCGUG
rnacentral:rRNA from 1 species